CACGUGCUCCGGGGUCGGUGUAACUCCGAGCCGGCGGUGACAGUCCGCGACCCGACCGCAGCCAGCGGCCGGUUGACCUGGUGGAACUCCAGGACCGACGGUGAAAGUCCGGAUGGUAGGCGCACGUG
rnacentral:ncRNA from 2 species